rnacentral:rRNA from 1 species
UACGUAGGCAGCGAGCGUUGUUCGGAGUUACUGGGCGUAAAAGGGUGUGUAGGCGGUUCUUUAAGUUUGGUGUGAAAUCUCCCCGGCUCAACCGGGAGGGUGCGCCGAAUACUGAGGGACUAGAGUACGGGGAGAGGAAAGUGGAAUUCCUGGUGUAGCGGUGAAAUGCGUAGAUAUCAGGAGGAACACCGGUGGUGUAGACGGCUUUCUGGACCGUAACUGACGCUGAGACACGAAAGCGUGGGUAGCAAACAGG